GAUGAACGCUGGCGGCGUGCCUAAUACAUGCCAGUCGAGCGAACAGACGAGGAGCUUGCUCCUCUGACGUUAGCGGCGGACGGGUGAGUAACACGUGGAUAACCUACCUAUAAGACUGGGAUAACUUCGGGAAACCGGAGCUAAUACCGGAUAAUAUAUUGAACCGCAUGGUUCAAUAGUGAAAGACGGUUUUGCUGUCACUUAUAGAUGGAUCCGCGCCGCAUUAGCUAGUUGGUAAGGUAACGGCCUACCAAGGCGACGAUGCGUAGCCGACCUGAGAGGGUGAUCGGCCACACUGGAACUGAGACACGGUCCAGACUCCUACGGGAGGCAGCAGUAGGGAAUCUUCCGCAAUGGGCGAAAGCCUGACGGAGCAACGCCGCGUGAGUGAUGAAGGUCUUCGGAUCGUAAAACUCUGUUAUUAGGGAAGAACAAAUGUGUAAGUAACUAUGCACGUCUUGACGGUACCUAAUCAGAAAGCCACGGCUAACUACGUG
rnacentral:rRNA from 1 species